AUCACAGAUUGAAUCAGCUGUCUUACUGAGCAGCACCAGGUGGGCCUUCAGGUCCCCUCUAAAGACAAAUACAGUUUCAGGACCAGAGCAACGCUUCGUGGUGGGCCUUCAGGUCCCCUCUAAAGACAAAUACAGUUUCAGGACCAGAGCAACGCUUCGUGGUGGGCCUUCAGGACUCUUCGGGUAACAGAUGUCCCGGGUCUGAGUGAUAU